rnacentral:lncRNA from 1 species
CGUGACUGUACUUAAUUACCAAACUAUAAUUAGUCGCUAAUCCAUUAGCAUUUGAGCCCUAUUUUUCUUCAGUAAUAAAAUAGUUAUCUCCAGCCCAAUUGAAAUGGGUUUGAUUCUCCUAUAAAAUCAUUGUUUGACCUGUUCCAUCACUAGCCUUCUUCCUGCCCUUGUGGUUGAGUGUGUUUGCACUUGCUGUUGGUGGUCUUGGGUUCGAAGGUUGGUAUACAAGCCCCAAACUAGCAACAACAAUGUGUCAUUCUAUAGUGAGGGCCUUAUAUAAAAUGAGGUAUUCUAAAAUACCUUUGUUUUUUUUUUUAAAUGCAUGUUUGCUCCACCUAUUCUCUUUUACUUUUUUCUCCCAGCUUCUGUCUUGACAAGUCAUAAUUAACACCCUAAGAAAGUAUAAUUAUGAAAACAGAAAACAACUAAACAAACGAGAAAGAAGUUUUUUUUUCUUUUUGAGAGAAAUAAGUUUUUUUUAUUAUUAUUUCGUAUUACACUUUGCGUUAAAAUCUCUUUGGAGCAUUGGUGUUGCAAAGAGUCUUCUUAAUUCUCUAUCUUUCAAUUCUAAAUGAGGUGGGCUUGCUCUUGUCAUGUUUUUUCUCACUGUCUUACUGGAUUUAAUUAUCCAGAUUUAUUGUAUGUAAUAACCUUUGUUUGGGAUGUGUUUUUACCGUAAAUCACUUGUAUUUGCCCAUGUUCUAAAGAAAUUCUGCUUUUUCUAUUAAAACAAAAAAAAUGAAAGUACACUUGCAUGAAUGCAUGUCCCCCCCGGCUGUACCAAGCAAACUUGACGGGCUUACCCAAAGAAAGAAGCAACCAGAGACUUCUGGAGAAAUUGAUACAAGCAGAUUCCACUGUUUUUGGGUUUGUCCAGAGGACUGUGGAUGCUUCCUUACAUGGUGUGUCCAAUUCAAUACCAAUUUUCCAAAUUAGAUAUGGGAUUUGAAGGUGAGUGGACGUAGGCUAAUCAAACACGUUUGGGGUAAUUGCCUUUCAAUAAUGCUGAUCUAUUUGCACCCAAACGUUGUAUUUGGACACCCAAGCUCAAUAAUGUUCCUCAAUGACAAGUUUAUCCCUUGCCGAUAGUAGACUUAGAUAAUUCAUUCAUCAAAGACGCCAUGCUAUAUAUGCCAAUUGAAAAAAGAAAAUAAAAGCUACCUAUUUAUUGGUAGAGAGGUGUUCAAGUGCUAAUCGGUUAGUGAAUUUAUGCAACGUUAUGCACUCGCUUGAAUCCAUUGCAAGAUAUAAUCUCAUAAUAUGGAUUAUUCAUUUUUUAGGCCAACAUUCAAGGAUAUUUCUUAUAAAAAAUUACCCAAAUUAAUAUACAUAGGCUUAGUCAAGUUAGUUAAAGCGAAUGUGCUCCAAACUUUUUGUCCGAGUUCGAAUCUCCCUCUCCGUAAUUUAGAUUAGAUUAAAGUAGAAUAUCGCUUGUACAUAAUAAAAUAUAUACUUAAUAUCAUUGUAAAGUUGGCUCAAAAGAAUAGUUAGCGUCGUAUUAAACUACUAACUAGGAUAAAUUAUUGUAUGAUACUGGAAUAUGGUCAUAUGGUUUGAUAUGUCUACGUGUUAUAAUAUGAAUGAACAACAUGAUUGAUAUUUCUCACUUAUAAAGUAUUAUCAAUAAAUAUCCAUUUAUAUUAUAACACGUGAACAAACUAUACCGUGUGCUUGAUUACCAAACUAUAAUUAAUCACUAACCAAUUAGCAUUUGAGCCCUAUGUUUUCUUGAUAAUACAAUAAUUAUAUUAUGUGGCCCAAAUCAAAUGGUUGAAAUGUGUUGGAUUCCCCUAUAAAGUCAUUUGUUUGAUGAGUCUCAACACUGGCCUUCAACCUGCCCUUAUGGUUAAGUGCGCUUGCACUAACUCCUAGAGGUCUUGGGUUCGAAGGUUGGUACCACAUUCUCUACAAAACCCAAAAUGGCAACAACAACAACACACAACACACAACACAGCACACAUUCAAUUCAAAAUGAGGUAUUCUAAAAUACCUUUGUUUUUAUACAGGUAUUCUCUUUUGUAUAUUGUGUUCACAAGUCAUAAUUAACAACCUAAGAAUGUAUAAUUAUGAAAACAA